rnacentral:lncRNA from 1 species
CAAAAUUUAUUCGCAAUAAAUUUUCAUAGUACGGAAAAUAAAUUACAGUAAAAAUAAUAUGAAGAAAAGAUAAUUUAUUGAUGAAUAUUUGUGAGUAUAAUUCUAUGUACCCCUUGAUUCUCCUCUCUGAAAUUCUCCAUGAUUCGAGGACUUGAGAAGCUUAUUUCUCGAAUGUAGGAUGACACAUACCUUCUUGUGAUGUAUUUAAUUGCCAAGAAUGUUGAGCAGCGCUUCAUUGUUUUGGGUUGAUUUCUAGGAACAAUUGCGUUGAUCACUUCUUUGUUGAAGAACUUUGUACCUGAUGAUUGAUCUCUCUGUUUGCGGAUGCCUUCAUCAAUUGCGGAAUGCUCUUCUCCAAGUCUGAAUGUCUUCAAAGAGUUAUGGAAC